UCACAUUCAUAUUAUAAAUUCUCUUCAUCAAACAUUUACAAGCUUACAAUAUAUGCAAUUCACUGAUUACGUGUGAAGAAUUACAUCAUAAUUUAGUAUCUGCAGUUUCAAGGCGUCCAAGUUGUACAGAAUGGAACAAGCACAAAGAGUAAAGCUUGUAAGGUCUUCUAGGUGAGCUCAAAGCAUAUGGUUACGGCAAGGUAUCUUAACCCGUCUUCAGGAACAUUUCCAACCUGGACAGUAAGAGAAAAAUUGAAAAAUACAUAUAUAAUAAAACAUUAUCUGCAUUACAUUGAUUUACAACACUCAAAAGAGUCUAUUGAGUGCACCAUUCCUGUUUUAUAAGACAUACGUCUACAACAUCAAGAGAAUUUCUAAUCAAAUUUCCUUUCAAGGCAUCAACUGAAUAUUCAAUUUAAUAGGAAAAUAAAAAAUGUCAGCAGUUUCAUGCAUUGACACGUAAAUUAAGCACAUUUAGCUCACCGCAAUUACAUCAUAUGAUUACCUAUGAUAUAAAUUUUAGUUUCCUGUAUGUGAAGAUUCCAUAGAACACCGUCCAGAAAACUGCACAUAAGACAAAAUAGGAAGUGAUUAAAGCAAGUGACAUCCACAACUUGUAUGAAUUUUUGACAUCAUAGGAUCUUGUAUUUUGGUAUAAACACACAAAGAAUGUAGUUCAAGAUAUGAAAUAGUUUCAUCCCAUGGAAAACAGCAAAAUUCAAACAUUUUUCUAGCACAAACAUGACAGUAGUAUAGAAACCAAAAUGUUUGGUGUUAUGUUGAAGUGGUUUACAACAUUCUUACUAGUCUUUUGGGCUCCCAGUCACAUGUGCCAAUGUUCUUAUCCAAUGUACUAGCACUUUCUGCAAAAAAAUAGAACAAGUUAGAUGUCACAAAGAUGGUGCUGUUUCCAGUCUUACAUGGUCAAUCAGUUGGCAAACAUAUAUGCAGAACACCUAUUUAAUCACAAAUUGAGUGGCCCGAGACAUGCAACAAAAUAGACGCGUAGUUGACAGAACACCUGUUUCUACUAGUAUUGAUUUUAGACUUCCAGUGUGUAUCUAUAGCAAGAUUCCUGUUGAGUACAAAAUACUGAACAGUAAUGCCAGGUCUAACCACUUUACACAUGGAAAGGUACAUUUAUCCUAAACAAUGCAAGCCGGUUAUAACUUAAUUAGUCUAUGAAAGAUGAUGCAGGACCAUAGAGAUAAUCGAGGAUGUGAUUCCAUUUUGCUUGUCUUAAGGAAAAAGGAGUAUUAGAUCAAGGAGAAGUAUUGGACUAUGCGUAGGAAUACAAGUGAAGGCAACACCUAUGCUAUUCAUAAAUGAUUCUACGACUGGCAGACCAAGACACUGCUUCAAGUACUGGCCCAAUAACAAAAGACUAAGCUUUAGAAUACACAGGACAUGCAAAAGCUUAGUUCCUGGACAUGCGCACACUGGACAUGUAAAAGGUUCCACUAAUUGUAUGCAUAAAAAGGCUAAGCACAUUCAGGAGAAGCAUAGUUCAUAUCUUUACUGCAGUUUCAUUUGCAUGAAGCAUAUAGGAAACAAAAUUCUAAAUAAAGUUUCAAUGUUCUGAAAUAGCAACAAGCAUGUAUCUGAAAGCAAAAUACUAAAUCCAAGACUUAUCUACCAAGAUAAACUGCCCCCCAUACCUCACCCACGCUAAUAUGCAGUGGCAUCUAUCUAUUAUAUAUUAAAAAGGAAAAUAGGGAUCAAGAAUAGAGGAUUUACUAGAAAUUCUCACAUUAAUCAGACACAUCGGACCGUUAGUUUGGUGGACCCUCCAUUAAUGAGUAAAUUACGACCAUUAGAAAGGCAGACCCACACCAAUUUUGAUGUAUGACGUCCUGGACUUGAACUCUUGAUUAGUUCAGUAGAUAAAAAGAGAUCAUUUUUAAUUCUGCUUGCGUGACAACAAAACAGCGGCGUCCCGUGGUUAUCCAGGAAAUAAAAGAGCAGCGUCCUGUAGAAAAAAGCAGUGGCAACUACGUUUAUUCACAAAGGAAAAAAAACAUCGGCAAGGGCAUGGUCAACACGCCAUAUCGUGGGUGUUGUAGGCGGUGAACUUCGAUCAAAAAGGAAAAGAAAAGAAGGAAGCAACGGCUCGCUCAAUGCAGCAUGCCAUGGCCCAUGGGCGUAGUAGGCGGGCACUCAUCACGGCUCAUAGUUGCAUACUCCUGUUGAGGUCCGACCCCACUGAAGAACGCAUGAUAAUCACACGAUGUGCCGAUGUGCAGCAUGAACACACUCCAGACCCUCGAUGCCCAAGAUAAAGAAACACUAGCAGAAGAAAUCAGAAUCCCAGGUAGAAUAAGCAUAAUAUCUCCUUUAAAUAUCAAUUAUCGAGGUCAACUAUCACAGAAUGGAUGUCAGUUCCAUUAUUACUUCUAUGAAGCAAAUCAGGCAGUCCUUUCUAUAUGAGAACAAUCUCAUUCUGAUAUCCACGAAUUCAGAAAAGCACCCAAAGAUAUGACUUACCAUAUUUUUCUCCCAAUAGAAACAAUUCAUCUCAAGCAAUACCCCAACCUGCAAUAGCUACAACAAAGACAAUGUUUUUUUGGAAGCAAAUCCCAGUGAUAAGAAAGUUAAAUACGUGAGGUAAGCACAUACCAUCAUCUUCCACUUUAAUAUAACAUCCUCUGACAUUUACUGAAACAUCGAU
rnacentral:lncRNA from 1 species